ensembl:lncRNA
CACUACACUUUGUCUGAAAAUCUAAUCAAGCUCAGUUUGGAAGCAGUAGCUGGUAUGGGAUUUCCCCUUCAUGACAACUCUGGAACUUGGAAGAGUAUUAUGGAGAAUAAUUUCACCAGAGCAGGUUGCAGAAAUAUGAUGACUGUAAGUGUUUUAAAUUCUUCCAUUUGCACAGGUGUUUCCCUCACUCUCUGAGGAAUGAAGAAUCCUCUGUGAGACAUGUCAUUACAAACCACACUCAGCCUGUCUUAAUCCUCUGCCAAAGAAGGUCCCAAUCUCUACCAGGAGUUUCUGCUCCAUCCUGGUGGGCUCAUGCUCCAUCUGCUCUGCCCUGGUGGGCUCCUGCUUUGUCUGCUCUGCCCUGGUUCCCUGCUCCACCUUGGUGGUCUGCUCUACUGGCCCUGUGUCAGUCCCCGGUCUCUCCACAUGAACCUGGCCCUCCGUCCCUCCCCCUGUUCCGCCUGAAUCUGGUCCGUGGCCUUCCGUCCGAUUGCCACCAGAGGUCGCUCUACUAUUUUACUAACUCUCACAACACACAGACUGUUAUCACCCUGGACUGCAUUUACCAUCAUCCAUUGCACUGAUUGCACACAGCUGAAACCAAUCACAUGCUUACCUGAAAGCUAUUACACACACUAUAAAACACCCACUCAGAUCCUGCUCAAGUUGCAGAGUAUUGUUUAGCAUUUAUCACUGACCUAGGGAUAGCCGCUUUACGGAGCCAUUCCAAGUUCCUGAGUCUAGCAUUGUUCAUAGUCUGUUUUCCCGUGUCUUGAUCCUUGCCUGUUAUCUCGUCUUGUCUGAUCGCUGCCUGCCCUGAAGUUAAUAGCCUGUCUUGGAUUUACCCUUUGCCUUGCUGUUUCGGACUGUGUUAGCACCUUGACUGGAUUAUUGCUUGUUUUGGAUUACUCUUUUGACUUGCCUUCAACAUAUCUGUUUGCUGGUGUCUGACUCUUGUCUGUGUUGACCAUGCCUUUAAAUAAAAGCUUGCACAUGGAUCCGCAUGCCUCUCAUCUCAUCGGCUCCAUUACAGGAAGGUUCGAGUUCUUGGUCUCAAUGGGUCUGUUAUUGGUAUGGGUCUGGGUCUUGGACAGACAAGUCUUUACUUCAACUCGUGUCUAAAUCUGAGAGCAAAGUCUCUAGCACCUUUUUGAACAUUUGCCACUAAGAAUUUAAUGUUUUCUCGAGUCAAAUGAGGUCCUACCCAGUAUUAUAAAUGUGUAUUGUACAAAAUAGUUUGUACAUAACAGAACUGUAUUUGUCUUAAUAGAUUAAAUAUUACCUCAUGUAGGCAUUUAAGAGUUACGGUCGUGUUGGAAAAGGGAUCAUGAGAACAUAUUCCCAAUUAUUCCUCACUAUGACUGCAUACUGCUCUUUUAUCAGAACUUUCAUGGAGCACAGAAGGUAAGACAGAUGUCUCCGAAAUUAAAAUUCACUGUCCUCAAAACAAAGCUAUUAAUGGUUGACGUCAUCUAUUUUGGGCAUUACACCAAACAAGCCACUAAAUAAGAGACUCACUGACAGUAAACCAGCUCUCUAAAGACUUCCCAGCUGCAGUUAAUUUCUGUGUGCAUAAUCACAGUCUUAUUAAACAGAUAAAAAAGAAUAGUCACUUAUUUAUCUGAAUGCGUUUGUUAAUUUCUUAGACCAGCUUCAGCUUUAAUAUAAAUUUCAUUUUAAAAGUAUCAUUAAACACAAUCAUUUGUCUAACCUGUCUUGUACAUUAAAUUUUUCCCUGUUUUUUUAAAGCCAUUUGCAUGGGAAAAGCUGCUCAAAAAGUUUUCUCCUGAACCGCCACAGUUUGUCAUGUAUUCGGAUACAUCAGAAAUUUUAUAUUGUAUAGAGUUGACUUUACUUUUCUCAUAAACGUUUGCCUUGGCCACAUUUCAGCACUGAAAAACAUACUAGAAAUGUGUUGUAUAGCAUGAUGUAUAGCAUGAUAUUGUAUUGCAUUUUUACAUAUUUAAGCCUUGAGGAAACAAAACGUGAAACCCUUUAUACACUGCCCCAGACACUGUCAGAUAUGUCAUACCCUAACCUUGAAACUGUGUGAAGUGGAACUGUAGUUUGUGCAGGAUUUGACAUGGUGCCUGACAUAACAUCACCCUGCUUCAACAAUCAGACAAUAGGCUGGCUAGGCUUUCCAUAGCUCUGUGCUUCAGAGAAAUGAUUAAAAACAUCAUUCAUUUUUUCUCUUUCAAUAAACUCACUAGCUGACAUGUCAGUGAUGUGUAUCUAUGUACCACUGUUAGUGAGAGAGGCUAUGUGGAACUGCUACCCAGAAUGCAUUUUGAAUGACAUCACAUUUUGUCAUGUUUAUUUGUAUCUUUAGCUGUAGUCACCAGCUUGGUCGGAAGACAAAGGAAUUCAUUGUUUCACUCAUUUUCAGCUUGAGGGCCAGCUUGAGGAUGAAAAAAAAAGAUAUGCCAUUAAAAGUUUAUUUCAUUAAAAAAUGAAAAUGGUAAAAAUCAUCUUUUCACCCUCAUGUCAUUCCAAACCCAUAAGACUUUUGCUUUUAGCUGAAAUACAAAUGAAGAUACUAAAGAAGCCUGAGACAGAUUUCUGUCC